GUCAACAUACGGAAAUGGAUAUGCCAAAAAUAAUAAUAGAAUCAGCCAAUCACAGGCUACGUCAGACCAGAUUGGCCAUAUACCAGAAAAUAUUGUGCAAGAGCACAUCCGGCACUACCUGGACGAAAACCCGCAAUUCCUGGAGGACUACGUCCUCAACCACACCAGCGCCGAACAGGUGGAAAAAUGGCUGAACAGCCUGCGCAGGAAACCCGCACCGAGGAGUGCGGGACGGAGCCCCGGACACCAGACUCAGGGCCUGAAGCGGCCCCUGUUGCAGAGCUCAACUUCAACUAUCGGUAUCCCAGGGCCCCAUAAUUCAAAGCUCGAAGGAACGUUUACAGGGGAAACGAUACGAGCUUCACAUGCCAAUGCAAGACAGUGGAAG